rnacentral:rRNA from 1 species
ACGAACGCUGGCGGCGUGCUUAACACAUGCAAGUCGAACGGUGAAGCAGAGCUUGCUCUGUGGAUCAGUGGCGAACGGGUGAGUAACACGUGAGUAACCUGCCCUUGACUCUGGGAUAAGCGUUGGAAACGACGUCUAAUACCGGAUACGAGCUGAGACCGCAUGGUCAUCAGUUGGAAAGAUUUUUUGGUCAAGGAUGGACUCGCGGCCUAUCAGCUUGUUGGUGAGGUAAUGGCUCACCAAGGCGACGACGGGUAGCCGGCCUGAGAGGGUGACCGGCCACACUGGGACUGAGACACGGCCCAGACUCCUACGGGAGGCAGCAGUGGGGAAUAUUGCACAGUGGGCGCAAGCCUGAUGCAGCAACGCCGCGUGAGGGAUGACGGCCUUCGGGUUGUAAACCUCUUUUAGUAGGGAAGAAGCGAAAGUGACGGUACCUGCAGAAAAAGCACCGGCUAACUACGUG